rnacentral:rRNA from 1 species
GGUUGAUCCUGCCAGUAGUCAUAUGCUUGUCUCAAAGAUUAAGCCAUGCAUGUCUAAGUAUAAGCAAUUAUACCGCGAAACUGCGAAUGGCUCAUUAUAUAAGUUAUCGUUUAUUUGAUAGCACAUUACUACUUGGAUAACCGUGGUAAUUCUAGAGCUAAUACAUGCUAAAAAUCCCGACUUCGGAAGGGAUGUAUUUAUUAGAUUAAAAGCCAACGCCCUUCGGGGCUCUGUGGUGAUUCAUAAUAACUGGUCGAAUCGCAUGGCCUUGCGCCGGCGAUGGUUCAUUCAAA